UAUUCUCAACAAUUGCAAAUAUUAAGCCCUCUUCUUCUGUUGGAUUUGAUACAUCCUUUGAUGCCAUCACGAUUUGCGACGCCAAUCCAUCAACGCUUGAUGUGGAUUCUUCUCCAAAUAAUCCUAAUUUUAUCUAAUAAAAAUACAAGGAUUCGUAGAUCCCAAUAAAAUGGCACGCAGGCCCUUCGUGAUAAAAAAAUAUAUACAACCAUAAUUAAAUUACAAAUACACCCAUAAUCAAAUUACAAAUACAUCCAUAAUCACAUUACAAAUACAUCCAUAAUCACAUCACAGAAGUCUAAGGUCCAUGAUCAUCACCCAUCUAAAAACUAUGCAGAAAAUAAUAACCAAAUCGAUCUAAUCAUCGAUUAAAAAAUUAGAACUCAAUAAUAUGUUUUUCUCAAGUCUCCACGUAUUUAUUUUAUGGUGUGAAACCAAUAAAUCACACUACGUGCAAUCUAAGAAAAACAAUAUCGAUCUCAUCGAAAACGGUUCCAAAAUUUCAAUCAAACCAUACAGAUCGUAAAUAUUUUACAUAGAACAUGAGAACCUGGCUCUGAUACCACUGUAAGAAAAUGUCCGGCACAAAAAUCACAACGGAAAAUAAAUAUCGUGUUUUCGAAAAACAAAAAUCCAUAUCACAUAUGAACCAAAAUAAAACAAAUCAAUCCAGUGCCGGUGGAUCAUUCUCAUGUUGCAAUGUAAAAUAAAAUCUAACCUAAACAGAUUUAAAGUUCAGGUUACAUUACCUCGGACCAGUUAAGGUCUCUUGAUCUACUGUACGGUUGAAAUUGAGAUUCCGAUUAGCCGCGCACGUGCCCGGCCUCUACGUGUAUCCACACGGAAUUGAUCUAGAUCCAACGCCUUCCGUCGCACGGAACUGAUGAGUCGCGGAUUACAAAGACGGUGCUAGCAGUCUCGUGAUAUCCACAUUCGCCUUUUGUGAGAUGUACUAAUUUUUGAAAAAUUAG
rnacentral:lncRNA from 1 species